rnacentral:rRNA from 1 species
UACAGAGGGGGGCAAGCGUUGUUCGGAAUUACUGGGCGUAAAGGGCGCGUAGGUGGCCUUCUAAGUUGAACGUGAAAUCCCUGGGCUCAACCCAGGAACUGCGUCCAAGACUGGGAGGCUUGAAUCCGGGAGAGGGAUGCGGAAUUCCAGGUGUAGCGGUGAAAUGCGUAGAUAUCUGGAGGAACACCGGUGGCGAAGGCGGCUCUCUGGGCCUUACCUGACGCUGAGGAGCGAAAGCGUGGGUAGCGAACAGG